UACGGAGGAUCCAAGCGUUAUCCGGAUUUAUUGGGUUUAAAGGGUGCGUAGGUGGUUUAUUAAGUCAGGGGUGAAAGACGGUGGCUCAACCAUCGCAGUGCCUUUGAUACUGAUGAGCUUGAAUACACUUGAGGUAGGCGGAAUGUGACAAGUAGCGGUGAAAUGCAUAGAUAUGUCACAGAACACCAAUUGCGAAGGCAGCUUACUAAGGUGCAAUUGACGCUGAGGCACGAAAGCGUGGGGAUCAAACAGG
rnacentral:rRNA from 1 species